ensembl:scaRNA small Cajal body-specific RNA 13
GUGCAACAUUGUGAUAUAUCCUCUUGCAAGGACUAUUGCUCGGGGCGAAACAAUGUUGCAUAAAUUAAAACAAGGAAGCUAAGGCGUGAUUUCUGGAGUUUCAGGAGUUCCACGUGCGAUAUUCUUUGGACAGAUUCUCUACAGAGAACCCUGCUUUCCACGGCGGUGAUGGGACGAAUAUUUCCCUCACCAUUCUUGAAGCAGGAAGAAAAAAUAUUGUGUACGGAAACCUGAUAUUGUUUUGCAGGGGAAGUUGUACCUGUUUAACACUGUCGAGUUGCCACAUAU